rnacentral:tRNA from 2 species
CCCCCUAUAGCUCAAUGGUAGAGCAGCGGACUUUUAAUCCGUUGAUCGUGGUUCGAGCCCACGUGGGGGGA